CUACGGGGGGCUGCAGUGGGGAAUAUUGCACAAUGGACGAAAGUCUGAUGCAGCAACGCCGCGUGGAGGAUGACACUUUUCGGAGCGUAAACUCCUUUUAUAUAGGAAGAUAAUGACGGUACUAUAUGAAUAAGCACCGGCUAACUCCGUGCCAGCAGCCGCGGUAAUACGGAGGGUGCAAGCGUUACUCGGAAUCACUGGGCGUAAAGAGCGUGUAGGCGGGUUAAUAAGUCAGAAGUGAAAUCCAAUGGCUCAACCAUUGAACUGCUUUUGAAACUGUUAACCUAGAAUAUGGGAGAGGUAGAUGGAAUUUCUGGUGUAGGGGUAAAAUCCGUAGAGAUCAGAAGGAAUACCGAUUGCGAAGGCGAUCUACUGGAACAUUAUUGACGCUGAGACGCGAAAGCGUGGGGAGCAAACAGGAUUAGAUACCCCUGUAGUC
rnacentral:rRNA from 1 species